UACGGAGGAUCCAAGCGUUAUCCGGAUUUAUUGGGUUUAAAGGGUGCGUAGGCGGCUUAUUAAGUCAGGGGUGAAAGACGGUGGCUCAACCAUCGCAGUGCCUUUGGUACUGAUGAGCUUGAAUUCACUUGAGGUAGGCGGAAUGUGACAAGUAGCGGUGAAAUGCAUAGAUAUGUCACAGAACACCAAUUGCGAAGGCAGCUUACUAAGGUGCAAUUGACGCUGAGGCACGAAAGCGUGGGGAUCAAACAGG
rnacentral:rRNA from 1 species